rnacentral:snRNA from 1 species
AUACUUACCUGGCAGGGGAGAUACCAUGAUCACGAAGGUGGUUUUCCCAGGGCGAGGCUUAUCCAUUGCACUCCGGAUGUGCUGACCCCUGCGAUUUCCCCAAAUGUGGGAAACUCGACUGCAUAAUUUGUGGUAGUGGGGGACUGCGUUUGCGCUCUAA